GCAGUGAGGAAUAUUGGUCAAUGGGCGAGAGCCUGAACCAGCCAUGCCGCGUGCAGGAUGACGCAUCUAUGGUGUGUAAACUGCUUUUGUACAGGAAGAAACACCGCUACGUGUAGCGGCUUGACGGUACUGUAAGAAUAAGGAUCGGCUAACUCCGUGCCAGCAGCCGCGGUAAUACGGAGGAUCCAAGCGUUAUCCGGAAUCAUUGGGUUUAAAGGGUCCGUAGGCGGUUUUAUAAGUCAGUGGUGAAAUCCGGCAGCUCAACUGUCGAACUGCCAUUGAUACUGUAGGACUUGAAUUAUUGUGAAGUAACUAGAAUAUGUAGUGUAGCGGUGAAAUGCUUAGAUAUUACAUGGAAUACCCAUUGCGAAGGCAGGUUACUAACAAUACAUUGACGCUGAUGGACGAAAGCGUGGGGAGCGAACAGGAUUAGA
rnacentral:rRNA from 1 species